CCUACGGGGGGCUGCAGUGGGGAAUAUUGGACAAUGGGGGCAACCCUGAUCCAGCCAUCCCGCGUGUGUGAAGAAGGCCCUCGGGUUGUAAAGCACUUUCAGUGAGGAAGAACGCCUGGUGGUUAAUACCCAUCAGGAAAGACAUCACUCACAGAAGAAGCACCGGCUAACUCCGUGCCAGCAGCCGCGGUAAUACGGAGGGUGCGAGCGUUAAUCGGAAUUACUGGGCGUAAAGCGCGCGUAGGUGGCUUGAUAAGCCGGUUGUGAAAGCCCCGGGCUCAACCUGGGAACGGCAUCCGGAACUGUCAAGCUAGAGUGCAGGAGAGGAAGGUAGAAUUCCCGGUGUAGCGGUGAAAUGCGUAGAGAUCGGGAGGAAUACCAGUGGCGAAGGCGGCCUUCUGGACUGACACUGACACUGAGGUGCGAAAGCGUGGGUAGCAAACAGGAUUAGAUACCCCAGUAGUC
rnacentral:rRNA from 1 species